GCCCUCUCAGGCUCACACCUGGAGAGUUGCCAGUACUCUACCAGUCUUGACUAUGGGAGGGUGGGUCAAGCAGAGACUUAUCCAUUCCAUUCCUAGCUUGGGUAGUGGCUAGUGAAUGAAAGAUAACCUGCUACAAGU
rfam:Ornithorhynchus anatinus chromosome 4, whole genome shotgun sequence.